GUGAAAUUCCUCACGGAUUUUGAGACAUCAAAGCAGGAGAAUAUCAAGUGAUAUUUUUCACCCCUUAAGUCAAGUUGGGCUUUGGACAGCUAAAUUGUUACAAGUUGAGCAGAUAGCAAUACAGAAGAUUGGAAGGGCUGUGAAGCUAUCAACAGGAG